UUGAAUGCAUAAUUCUGUUUCAUCAGUUCUUAUCUGAGGUGAACACACUCUAUACAGGAACAUGAAGUUAUAUCUGGCAGUACUUCUUCUUUUUGUUUAUCUUGGUGUUGCAAUAGCUGGUGACGACAGCCUUUGUGAAUGUAGAGACGAUGACUGCUUAGAUGGCGAUACAAACGAAGGUGACUGUGACCUUGGAUGGCAAACAACAGGUUCGCAAUGUUGUUGGGAAGCGGAACCUGACUGCAGUUGCAAAGAGUUUUGUAACAGUGAUGAAAGAAGAAUGAGAACCUGUGGAGUAAAUGGACAAUAUGGUUACUGUUGUAAAUUCCCCAGGAGGAGAUACUAAAUACAUUUUCCUGAUGAAUAAAAUUAUCAAGAACAGUUCGACGGAAGCGUGUAAUGAAAUAGGUAUGGUCUAGAAAUAAACAGUGUAAAAGAUA
rnacentral:lncRNA from 1 species